UGUUGGAAACAGAAGACAAAUGGUACCC
rnacentral:piRNA from 1 species